CCACCCUUUAAAGUAAAUUUACGAUAAAGUAAAUGUGCUUGUAUGGGCACUAAUUCUGCUCCAUACAUUUAAAUGACAGUAAAGCAGUAAAGGCGUGGACGAUAAACCCGCACCACCCUUUAAAGUAAAUUUACGAUAAAGUAAAUGUGCUUGUAUGGAUAAUAAACCUACACCAUACAGUAAAUAAAAUAAUUGCAGAAUGAAUAAAGUAAAGACAAUUAUUUGUGGGUUCAUAUCAACACCACAAUCAAAUAGUAUAGUAGAUAAUAUUAUUAUACUGAUAUAUCAAGUCAUUUUAUGUUCUUUCCACCUGGCAAUAAUUCUUUGUUUCCUUUACGAUUUUGCUUUUCACUAGGCUUUCUGUAUCCCACUUGUCAAUAAAUAUUAAAUCUGUUCUACCACUUGCUGCAUCCAGUGGUUUCCAACUGGAAACUCCGUUUCCAGAAUAGCACUGCCUGCUUCUCAAAUAUCCUUUCUACUAUUUGAAAUAAUAAAAAAAAAAAUAAAUGAAUGGAUGAUUGACAAACCAUCACCAUCGAGGGCAUGAAGCUGAGCUGAGGAAGAAGAUACCCAGCUCUCGGCACUGCGUGGAUCCAUCGCCAGCGGCGCGACCAGAAGCUCAGCAAGUUCUGCAUCAGCUCCGAAUUGAGAGUUCCAA
rnacentral:lncRNA from 1 species